CAGACAUUGAUUUUGAGGUUCAAAGAGACAGCGUUAGAGAUGUAGAUUCACUGAUCUCCAGACAAAAGAAAACUCGGGGCCAUGGGAUCCUGGCCAGAGGCGCCGAGGGUCAGGACGGGGCUGGACGGCUCGGGAGCAGAGGCGGAGCAUUGAAUUUCAGGCACCAUUCAGUCCAGUAUCCUGUGAUGGAGGAAGCCGAGACAGAAAAGGUCAGAGUAUUCUGGCCUCAGUCACACAGUCGGAGAAGGAACAGCCCAGGCUCAAGUUCCCAGCCUCCUGACCCCAAAGCACCUGUGUGCGUGACACUUAAUGAUUUCGUUUUAUUCUUCACGGAAUCCUGGAAGGUAAGUAUCAGCAGCACCGCUUUACUGAUAACGAGCCAAAGCUCUGAUAAGUUCAGCGUGUUGUCCGAGAUCACACAGGCCAUAAAUAGUGGCGCUGCCUUUCCAAUUUAGAUCAUCGAUCCAAGCCCUUUCUCUUUCUGCUGUGUUUUCCUGGCCCCUGGAAGUGUUCCAUCUUCAUGAACUGUCAUAGGCUUUACUGAUAGUGGGGAAAAUGAGAAGACUCCAAGGCUGGCCAUGUCCCAGGAGAUGAGCUCAUCCUUCUUCCUAUUGCCUGGAGAGGCUGAAGCUCUUCCUGCUUGGUAUCAAGCUGAAGAAGAAGGUUCUUUUGGAAACAAUGUUGAUAUCAUUGUAACUGUAUCACAUGUUUGCUGGAGAAAAGCUGGAAGACAGAGAAGAUAAAAAAUACCCACUUUUAAUUUUAAAAUAUUCUUUAUAAAAUGGGUAAAUGUGCUAUUUAUUUGUAGCCUUUGUCAUUUAAAACAUUUCCAUAUCUUUAGAUAUUUUUCUACAACAUAACCCUUUCCUACAGUAUGAACACACACUACUCUAGUAACAUUGUAUCCUGUUAGGUGACAAUACCGUACUUACUGAAACACAUUAGGUGGUUGUCAUUGAGGCUGGCAUCUUUCAUUAAUGUCUGUGGUGAUUUCCUUAUGACCAACUCCAAUAAACUGAAUUCUAAGUUGGAGGAAUAACUUGGUAAGUUCUUUGAGAUAUAGUGAUAUGCACUUGUAAAUAGUUAUGUAUGUUAGU